rnacentral:rRNA from 1 species
UACGUAGGUCCCGAGCGUUGUCCGGAUUUAUUAGGCGUAAAGCGAGCGCAGGUGGUUUAUUAAGUCUGGUGUAAAAGGCAGUGGCUCAACCAUUGUAUGCAUUGGAAACUGGUAGACUUGAGUGCAGGAGAGGAGAGUGGAAUUCCAUGUGUAGCGGUGAAAUGCGUAGAUAUAUGGAGGAACACCGGUGGCGAAAGCAGCUCUCUGGCCUGUAACUGACACUGAGGCUCGAAAGCGUGGGGAGCAAACAGG